rnacentral:rRNA from 1 species
AUUGAACGCUGGCGGCAGGCCUAACACAUGCAAGUCGAGCGAGCGGCGGACGGGUGAGUAAUGUAUGGGGUCUGCCCGAUAGAGGGGGAUAACUACUGGAAACGGUAGCUAAUACCGCAUACCAUCGGCAAACACAGAUGGGAUUAGCUAGUGGGUGAGGUAAUGGCUCACCUUGGCGACGAUCCCUAGCUGGUCGGAGAGGAUGAUCAGCAACACUGGGACUGAGACACGGCCAAGACUCCAACGGAGGCAGCAGUGGGAAAUAGUGCACAAUGGGCGCAAGCCGGAUGCAGCCAUGCCGCGUGUAUGAAGAAGGCCCUAGGGUGGUAAAGUACUUUCAGUCGGGAGGCGUUACCGACAGAAAAAGCACCGGCUAACUCCGUGCCAGCAGCCGCGGUAAUAC